AAUGUAGUAUCGUCUGCACUCUGCAGUGAGAACUAUGUUAAUAUUCAGAUACCUUUGGUUUACACUUGAUGCUUAUAUGAUGAGAGUUUAAAACAUGAUGGCCUGAUGAUAUUUUGCAUGGAAGAUGGGAGAUCCUAGUGUCGAGGAGGUGGCGGAGGAGACCCACGAUGUGUCUCAGGAGGCAAAGGGCGUGGCCAUGGAAGCUUGUCCCUUUCAAGGGAGGCUGGAAGGCGAAGACCACUUACAGCACUAAUUUGUUCCUUAAUUCUGCUGUAGAGAGAGCAGCAUCUGUGACGAUACCAUCUAUAGGUUGGGAGGCUACAGGACAUCUUGAAUUUGGCGGAGACACCCUGCCUUGGCUACGACCUCUCGGGUGAGCUACUGGUUUAUCUCUACAUUCUCUGGCUCCCAUGUGUUUUGUGGCUGUACUAUGCUCCGGCCAUCGAGCCGGAGACGCCUAUUUGAAUUAUGGUGAUGAUGAUCAUCUGGUCACCUAGUCUCUAAGGCUUGUCUCUAAGAAUCUGACACGUCGG